AUUGAACGCUGGCGGCAUGCUUUACACAUGCAAGUCGAACGGUAACAGGUUAAGCUGACGAGUGGCGAACGGGUGAGUAAUGCAUCGGAACGUGCCCGGUCGUGGGGGAUAACGCAGCGAAAGUUGCGCUAAUACCGCAUACGAUCUGAGGAUGAAAGCGGGGGACCGUAAGGCCUCGCGCGGUCGGAGCGGCCGAUGUCAGAUUAGGUAGUUGGUGGGGUAAAGGCUCACCAAGCCAACGAUCUGUAGCUGGUCUGAGAGGACGACCAGCCACACUGGGACUGAGACACGGCCCAGACUCCUACGGGAGGCAGCAGUGGGGAAUUUUGGACAAUGGGCGAAAGCCUGAUCCAGCAAUGCCGCGUGCAGGAAGAAGGCCUUCGGGUUGUAAACUGCUUUUGUACGGAGCGAAAAGGUCUCCUCUAAUACAGGGGGCUCAUGACGGUACCGUAAGAAUAAGCACCGGCUAACUACGUGCCAGCCGCCGCGGUAA
rnacentral:rRNA from 1 species